ensembl:lincRNA
GCUGGGAACAGUUAAUGGAGACUUGCUGUGGCAUGCCAUUUUCUUUGGAUUGCAGUUUACCUUUUCUUUUCAGAAGUAUGGUUUUUCAUUUGAAAACUGCUUUUAUGGCUUUACCUACCUUGGAGCUAGCUGACUCAUCAUGUGACCAUGUUAUUGCAGCUGUUCUCCGGAAGCGGAAGCUGGAGUAUUACUUGUACAAGCUGCUCCCUGAGAUCCUCCAGUCCGCCUCCUUCCUGACUGCUAAUGGGGCCUUGUACAUUACUUUCUUCUGCAUUUUAAGGAAGAUACUUGGAAAAUUCUAUUCCUGGACUCCUGGCUUUGGUGCUGCUCUACCAGCCUCAUAUGUGGCCAUUCUAAUUGAAAGGAAAAGCAGGAGAGGGCUGCUCACAAUUUAUAUGGCCAACUUGGCCACAGAAACACUAUUUAGAAUGGGUGUUGCAAGAGGAACCAUCACAACAUUAAGAAAUGGAGAAGUCCUUUUGUUCUGCAUCACAGCGGCCAUGUACAUGUUCUUUUUCAGGUGCAAGGAUGGUUUGAAAGGUUUCACCUUUUCUGCACUUAGGUAAGUAACAUUCUAUUUUUCUGUUGAGAGAGAGUACAAGUUAACUUAAUCUUUUAAAAAUAUGAGUGUAUGUAAUUACAAUAAAGAUUUAUUAAAUUAAUUGUUAAUCUGACAGUAGUUUUCAAAGUCACAAUAAUAUGUCUUUGCCUUUGUGGAUAGUUUAUUGAGUAAUUUGUUAGACGGAGUUAUGGGUGGGAAUUAUGGACUGUAAAGCACAGAAGGCCUAAGUGUUCCUAGAGUGUUUUGUUUUUACCUCCUCUCUUAGCAUAGUAAUUGGCCUAUUGUAUAUAUUAUGUAAAUAUUAGUUAUCAACAUUAUUGUAUUUUAUAGGCUCAAUGAAUUUUUAUGAUGUAGGCAAUUAUUUUUGCAACAUUAUGUAAGGUUUGUUUGUCAUGCAUUGAAUGGAAUGUUUUACUAAAAUUUCUCACUGUACACACUACAUCCAAACCCCACAUUUUCCCAGUUUGCAUCACUGCAAGUAUUAGACAGAAAAGGUAGGGUGUGUCACGUUGCUGGGAGGUUUAAAGAUUGUCUUAUAUGUUAUUCUGAGGAUCAGAGAAGCUUGCACAUGGGUUGUUCUAGUGCAGUGCUCACACCCAGUGAAUGUUCAGAUUGCUGCCUCCCCAUCUUUCAGAGGAUUUACAUUUGAGGAAUAGCUUUAGAUAAGGAAGAAUGAAGAAGAGCACUGUUUGUAGAGGCAAAUGACAUGUCUAUUGGGGAAUAUAAAAGUUUUCACUGGUAGAAUCAGAUUGUCAAAGGUUCAGGGUAGGGGAGAGACUGAUUUAGACUUGGUAAGUGGGUAAUAGAGAACUACUUAAAGGUGUCCAAGGUAGAUGGUUGACCAUGACUUUGAAAGGUAAAUCCAGCAGAAGUGUUUGAGACAUUGGAUGACAGAGAGCUAGAGGUAGGAAUACAAGAUAAAUCCUGGGGACUUGUGGGAUAAUGGGAAGAUUGAAGAGGAAAAAUUAUGUAUUAACUGGAAGAAAGUUAAAGAUGGUGUUUUGUCUGCUACAGUCUGAAAGCUAAGUAUGCAAAGGAGGUUGGCACUAACACGCAGAUUGGAUGGCAUGCCAGGAAACUGAUUUGGGAUUAAAAAAACAAAACUUCCGUAUACUUGUGUGAGUGUUUUUGGGUUUAGUGGUGGAGCACCUGCCUGAAAUAUUUGACACUCUGGGUGCAGUCACCAGGGGAUGUAGGCAGAGGAGGGUUAAGUGAAAUCUGUGGUGAUAAAACUGUGAUAACUAGGUUUCUGAAGCCAUGAUGCACAUAGCAUUUUUACUGUAUUUUUCAUCAAGAGAUAAAUAAGAAAAUAACUUUUUUACCUUUGUUCUUAAAAGAUGAUAAAGCAUGUUUUUAAAACUGAAAGUUUAUGACAAAACAAAAAGUUUUUUUUAGAGAAAAUUAUGCCCAUUUUCCUAAGAUUCCACAAAUCCUUGGAAAAUCUUGAGAAAUUUCAGAUAUUUUGUAUCUCUUCUUCCCACAUACUUUGAAUCAGAGCCUAGUUUGGAAUAUUUGCACUUAACUUUUUCUGUAUUAUAGGACAAUAUUCUAGAAAACAGUUUGUUGUUACAAGUACUCUUGUUAAAGGAAAUUGUUAAGCAUUACAAAUUGCUGCAUUGAUAUAACACAUGUCUUUCUACUGAACAGGUUGGAUUUCAUUUUAGAUUGCCUAUAGUAUAUUCUGUUUUUAUUGUCAAGUUUCAUUGUUAAAAAAAAUGGGUUAAUGUAUGUUGUCUUCAGAGGUUUCCUAAAUUAUUACCUGGCACGAUUUUCUAAUCUACAUAUUCCCAUUGUUGCCUGUCUGAUUUUUAUUACAGACACAUGCAAUGAGUUUAUAGCCUUUCAAAAACUACAACAUUUACCAUUAAUUACAGAAGGGAGGGGACAGAAACAUACUUGUGGUGUCCAAACUAGUAAGUAUGACUUCCUGACAGUAUUAAGCUCUCAUGAGAAAAGGAUAUUCCAUGCCUAAUAGAUUUGAGGAUGCUGGCCACACAUUUGAUGAAUGCAGAUGGAUGCAGUAGCCAUCAGGCUGGGAGGAGGUGCUCAUCUUCUGUAGAUUAUAAUUACUCUAUCAUGACAACACAUUGUUUUGUAGAGAAAAGUUUCCCUUGACCUAUUGCAACCAUUCAUAAGCUGCCAAGCUUAGUGUCUCCUAGUUAGAGUCAAGCAAAAGCUUUAGAAUAUACAGAUUUACUCUAAUUCAGCACCCAUGUUUUAAAGCAUUCUGCCUGUAAGAGAGUACAUAGGCUACAAAGAUAACAUUUAGUUUAGUUUAUUUGGUUAUGACUUACUGUGUCCCAAGAUGCACACUAUGUUGAGAAUGCACUGAUGAGUGAGUCAGCUACAUCUCUGCCUUCAGAGUCUAUAGAGAGGACAAUAUUAAUUAUAACUGUGCUGAUAUAACAAAUGGGGGACCAGAUUUUUCAGUGUACAUUUCAGACAGUGCUAGCAGAGUUGCUUUUCAAGUUGUAGAUUGGAAGAAAGACAGAGAAUAAGACAGGGAAACUGAAAAGAAUACUUAAAAAAAAAAGUCCAGUGCUGUAAGAGAAAAAAAAAUACUGUACAUUUCACUGAUGACUUUUUUCCCCUAUGAAAAGGAGAAUGUUUGACAGUACAGAAGGAAGGAGGGUGGCUGUUUUGGUUGUGAGCCUAGCCUUUAACGGCUGAGCUAUCUCUCUAGCCUAGGGUGGCUUUUUAAAAGGCAGAAAAAAUAUUUAGCAGACAUGUAGGGAAGAAUGAUCCACAGAGAGGAGCAGCACUAAGGCAUUGGCUUACCUGCAGGGGGAUCAUUCUCCCAGCCCACUGAAGUUAACAGCAG